rnacentral:rRNA from 1 species
UGCCUACGGGGCGCAGCAGUGGGGAAUAUUGCACAAUGGGGGAAACCCUGAUGCAGCAACGCCGCGUGAGUGAAGAAGUAUUUCGGUAUGUAAAGCUCUAUCAGCAGGGAAGAAGAUGACGGUACCUGAUUAAGAAGCCCCGGCUAACUACGUGCCAGCAGCCGCGGUAAUACGUAGGGGGCAAGCGUUAUCCGGAAUUAUUGGGCGUAAAGAGUACGUAGGUGGCAACCUAAGCGCAGGGUUUAAGGCAAUGGCUCAACCAUUGUUCGCCCUGCGAACUGGGAUGCUUGAGUGCAGGAGAGGAA